rnacentral:rRNA from 1 species
ACGAACGCUGGCGGCAGGCUUAACCCCUGCAAGUCGCACGCCCCGCAAGGGGAGUGGCAGACGGGUGAGUAACGCGUGGGAACAUACCCUUUUCUACGGAAUAGCUCUGGGAAACUGGAAUUAAUACCGUAUACGCCCUACGGGGGAAAGAUUUAUCGGGGAAGGAUUGGCCCGCGUUGGAUUAGCUAGUUGGUGGGGUAAAGGCCUACCAAGGCGACGAUCCAUAGCUGGUCUGAGAGGAUGAUCAGCCACAUUGGGACUGAGACACGGCCCAAACUCCUACGGGAGGCAGCAGUGGGGAAUAUUGGACAAUGGGCGCAAGCCUGAUCCAGCCAUGCCGCGUGAGUGAUGAAGGCCUUAGGGUUGUAAAGCUCUUUCACCGAUGAAGAUAAUGACGGUAGUCGGAGAAGAAGCCCCGGCUAACUUCGUG